GAUGAACGCUGGCGGCGUGCCUAAUACAUGCAAGUCGAGCGAACNGGACGAGAAGCUUGCUUCUCUGAUGUUAGCGGCGGACGGGUGAGUAACACGUGGAUAACCUACCUAUAAGACUGGGAUAACUUCGGGAAACCGUAGCUAAUACCGGAUAAUAUUUUGAACCGCAUGGUUCAAAAGUGAAAGACGGUCUUGCUGUCACUUAUAGAUGGAUCCGCGCUGCAUUAGCUAGUUGGUAAGGUAACGGCUUACCAAGGCAACGAUGCAUAGCCGACCUGAGAGGGUGAUCGGCCACACUGGAACUGAGACACGGUCCAGACUCCUACGGGAGGCAGCAGUAGGGAAUCUUCCGCAAUGGGCGAAAGCCUGACGGAGCAACGCCGCGUGAGUGAUGAAGGUCUUCGGAUCGUAAAACUCUGUUAUUAGGGAAGAACAUAUGUGUAAGUAACUGUGCACAUCUUGACGGUACCUAAUCAGAAAGCCACGGCUAACUACGUGCCAGCAGCCGCGGUAAUACGUAGGUGGCAAGCGUUAUCCGGAAUUAUUGGGCGUAAAGCGCGCGUAGGCGGUUUUUUAAGUCUGAUGUGAAAGCCCACGGCUCAACCGUGGAGGGUCAUUGGAAACUGGAAAACUUGAGUGCAGAAGAGGAAAGUGGAAUUCCAUGUGUAGCGGUGAAAUGCGCAGAGAUAUGGAGGAACACCAGUGGCGAAGGCGACUUUCUGGUCUGUAACUGACGCUGAUGUGCGAAAGCGUGGGGAUCAAACAGGAUUAGAUACCCUGGUAGUCCACGCCGUAAACGAUGAGUGCUAAGUGUUAGGGGGUUUCCGCCCCUUAGUGCUGCAGCUAACGCAUUAAGCACUCCGCCUGGGGAGUACGACCGCAAGGUUGAAACUCAAAGGAAUUGACGGGGACCCGCACAAGCGGUGGAGCAUGUGGUUUAAUUCGAAGCAACGCGAAGAACCUUACCAAAUCUUGACAUCCUUUGACAACUCUAGAGAUAGAGCCUUCCCCUUCGGGGGACAAAGUGACAGGUGGUGCAUGGUUGUCGUCAGCUCGUGUCGUGAGAUGUUGGGUUAAGUCCCGCAACGAGCGCAACCCUUAAGCUUAGUUGCCAUCAUUAAGUUGGGCACUCUAAGUUGACUGCCGGUGACAAACCGGAGGAAGGUGGGGAUGACGUCAAAUCAUCAUGCCCCUUAUGAUUUGGGCUACACACGUGCUACAAUGGACAAUACAAAGGGCAGCGAAACCGCGAGGUCAAGCAAAUCCCAUAAAGUUGUUCUCAGUUCGGAUUGUAGUCUGCAACUCGACUACAUGAAGCUGGAAUCGCUAGUAAUCGUAGAUCAGCAUGCUACGGUGAAUACGUUCCCGGGUCU
rnacentral:rRNA from 1 species